GGGCGUGUGGCUCAGUUGGUAGAGCGCCCGCUUAGCAUCUACAGCAAUGCGGAAGGUCCCCGGUUCGAUUCCGGGCUCGUCCA